CAGCCGUUGAUGUUUCCGUGUCUCUAUACUUGAAAGGAGACGUCAUGUUUGGAAGAAAAUGGCUGCGAAAUGGCUCCUGGUUCAGAGGUGGGAAGUCAGGACCACGCGGGAGCAGCGAAGGCAUCCCAGGGCUGUCUUCUACCGCAAACUCAUUUCAUGGCACACCUGUAACUCCCGUCUCAAAGUCUUCAGAACAGGAGCCUGGAAAAUGUAACCUGACAGCAGAAGAACCCGUCUGCCUCACCUUUGUGUGCUGCUAGUCAAUACUGAAUCAGCUAUGCCAUUUGUACCAAUAAAGAUUUCAAAACUGGAAA